rnacentral:lncRNA from 1 species
AAGACACUCAGAGACGAGCGAAAGCAAUUUGUGCAUUGCGGAAGAAACAAAGAUCUUGCGAAUUUUUGCUCUCGAUUCCAGGCCGGCUUGUUUCAAACCAAGGUGCCGGGGCCUUCCACCGUUGCAACAUCUACAUCGGUUCCAAUCAAUUCAGGUCGGUUUUGAUUGGUUUAUUGAGGUGAUAUUUGUUAGAGUUGAGUACUGACAUACUUUUUUGUUUACAGCUCACAAUUCAGAAAUGUUGGGAUACAAGGCGACGAAAGAUGCGGCCGCAGCGAAGGCCAAGAAGAGGGACCUCCCAGAACGGGAUGAAAGUCGUUCUGAGGAAGUGGAGGACAAGGUCCCCUUGAAGAAGAACCAUAUUGGUACGCCGGCCGCACCAAGGGUCCCUGAAGCUGAUCCUGCGUUGAGCUCUUCUCCUUUGGUGGCCAUCACUUUGCCAUCUCCAGCUCAUACCUCGCCACCUCCUGUGGCACUUGCUUCCACUUCGACUAGCUCGACAAGGGUGCAAGAGAGGUGCCCGAACUUACAAAGGCCAUCACUGGACAGUCUGCUAGGCCACUGUCCAGAGAUCUUCCUAGAUUACUUGCGAGCUCCAUCUCCAUUAAGGGAGGUUACUACUGCACUUCUCCCACCUCUGCGUGAUUUUGCAAACCUGCUUACUAGGAGUUGCGGUGAAAGGGAGUAGGGCUUCCUUAAUGAGAUGCCCAUAGGUGAGGCUCUAGUGACUGCUCAACACCAUGCCCAUCACUCUAUCCUUUACAUGACGGCCGUAGCUGAUAAGGUAUUUUCCUUACUUCAUUUUAUUUGAUGAUUCACAUAUUUGCGAGGUGCUUAACUUAUGGAUUUUAAUGUAGGCGAAAUCUGAACUCGACAAAUUGAUGGAGGCCAAGGAUCAGACCUUGAAUUUGUAUAAUAGCAUGGAGGCUGAGAGAGCUUAGUUUGCAAUAAAAGAAAAAGAAUAUGAGGAGAAGCUUAACACGAUAGGGUUUGAGCUGAACUCGAGGCUGGAGAUGGAGGAGAAGUGGAUGGGGGAGAUCUCUGAGGGAGGAUGCCGAUUGUAAGGCUGAGGUUCAGGAGAAGAGGAUUUAGGAAGAGAGAGUUCGGACUGAGGAGGUUGUGGAAAAGGUACGGGAGGCAUAUGAGAGAGCAAGAGAGGCAAUGCGUAGAGCUGAGGAGGUUGAAUCUAG